UCUGAUACGGGUCCCAUGAGACUCAAGAUAUUAAUCUGAUUUUUGGAACCUGGCGGA
rnacentral:miRNA from 1 species